GCUUCUUUGUACUACUGUAAUAUACCUCACAUCUAGGACCUAAAGCAGUAUGGCAGAUUUCCCUGCUUUCUUUAGCGUAGCUUACUUAUUUAAUGUGACUGCAUCCCCAAAUGGAAUUAGGUGACUGUGUUCAAAGCACAAUGCUGAUUAAAAUCAAAGCUAUCUAUUUUUUUGUAUAUUAAGUAUAUGGCUUUGAAAAGUAGCCCAACUUUUACUUAAAUUAAAUAAAAACCAUAGCCAUCCAAUGGAAGUUUGCAUUGCUAUUAUCUAGGGUUUUCACCAGUCAUAAACAACAAGAAUUAAAAUGUUUUUGAAAUAAAUGGGACAAAACAUGGAAAAAGAGAUAAUGACAUCUGGCCUAGAGACUGGGAGAGCAGACCUCUUGCCUACCUAGAGCUACUGCUCUAAGCAGGCUACCAGCAGGACAUAGAGAAGUUUGGAAAACAUAAUAGAGGUAGAUGAUUUUAUGUUACUGCCACACUCUUUUAUGGUAGAAGAUAGAUAAAUACUAACUGAAAACUCCUGAAGUUUCAUAUGCAGGAGGGUCAGGACAACUAGAAGCUGGCUCCUUUACCUUCUUUGAGGCAGUUCAAGUAAUUGGGGCUUAGGACCACAGGGUUCAUGCAUUUAUUAUUCCUUCUGCUUUUCCAGGUGUAUGACAUCUAGUGGCAGCUGUAGCUUGUAAGACCUUGGAGACACUGUCAGCUUUAUUGGGCAACACCAUGAAGACAGGUUGAUUCAAGUCACCAGAGAGGUAAAGCUUGGAUCUCAGUUGUUUUUGCAUGCUGAAUCCAGUAUCGCUGCAUCUUCCUUACAACAUUUUGUGAACCUAGGACCUAAUGGUUGGAUGGAAGAAGAUAAGGGCAUCCUGGGUGUCAAUGCUAUGAAUUCACUGCAUUUAUGUCAUGGAUUUCUUUCAAGAAAACAUCGCCUCUCAUAACCUUCAGCCCUGCCAAUCCAAACUAUUCUUUGGUCUAUGGUUCUUUGAUUGUAUGAUUUAACCAUAAGUAGCUAAAAAGGCCUUACUGGCAAAGAAGUUGAAAACCUGAAACAAUGAUUGAUUGGGUUAAAAUUGUUACACCAGUCUUUUAUCUUGCAAAAGCAAGGAACCUG
rnacentral:lncRNA from 1 species